rnacentral:lncRNA from 1 species
AAUGACAAAUGUAAUUAAUUACGUAAUGUAUUGCGAUCUAUCAAAACAUUUCAUAGUAAACAACUUUUUUCUGCCUGUAUAAAUAAAGACUUUGCGACAAUUACUACAACUGAAUUACUACUAAACAGCGAAGAUGAACACUUUAUUUAUUAUUGUAUUCUUUGGUAUUGUAGGUCAGUAUAACUUUUAUAUUUUCUUUAUUUAUGCCAUACAUAUUUAAUUUGCAUUGCUUAUAUAUAUAUAUAGUACAUAUACAUGAUAUACUUCCUAGUUUCUGUGCAUGAUUUAAAAAUAUAUAGGUAUUUUAAGAGGGUCUGAGUUGAAAGUAUAUUUCUUUAUUUUUCAUUUUUUUAGACUAUUUGUAUUUAAUCUUUAUUCGUUUUGCUCAUUUUUCUUUUUUCUUUAUAUGUUUUAUUCAAUUUUUUUUCCAUUCUUUAUGUUUCAGUACCCUAUAUGUUUAUAUUUCAUUUUUUUAUUAUUAUUCUCUUUUCUCCUUUCAAUCAUUAGCUUGUGGUAUUGGAUCAUUAUUCGUUAUUCUGUAAACCCCAAUCAUCUACUACAGGGGUGGAUCCAGGGGGGUCUGGUGGUUGGAACUCCCCCUUUUCUUUGAAUACAUUUGAAUGGGGACAUAAAGCUGGAACCCCUUUGUCCUGGGUUGGGAACCCCCCUUUUUUCAAUGGCUGGAUCCGCCACUGGCACCAAUCUCAGUUUCGAGUUUCAAAACUGUUCCGGUGACCGUGUAAAUAAUUAUUUCAAUAAGUCGGCAAGGUAUACAAACAGAACAAACAUUGUUCUAAUGAGCUUUUAAUUGAAAUAUGAGACACUUUUAACAAUACAACAUUUAUAACAAUACAACACAUAACAUACAUGCAAUACAUUUCACAGCACAAAAAUGAAGCACUAAAAGCAGAAAAUAAGCAUAGGCUAGGUAUUUUUCGAAUUUCGGGAUGUCGGGAUUAAAUUUAUUUUUAAGGCCGGGAUUUCGGGAUCGAGACCCCUCCUAUCCCCUCUCACCUAUGGUUGCCAAAAUCCACGUCAUUUGAACUUUGAUAGAUAGACAAGAAUAUCAGAUCUUUUUUAUUAUUUUAUAUAAAGGGGGGAAGUACAGAACAUAAAACACUAAAUACAUAAACAAAAAAAGAAAGAAUAGAAAAUAAUUUAGUGAUAAAAUCUAAAGGAUAGAGAAAUGACGACCCCCCCCCCCCCCCCGCCAUUUUUUUCCUUUCCAUGUGGAUACUUAGGUUAUGUGUGUCCAAUGUUACUCUUAUGUCACUUAUUUGUUCAUAGUUAACAGCUUUUUACCAUACGAUAUAUUCUGGAGUCGUUAGCUAUUUCACUGAGUUGUGUACCAUGUAAGAGAGACCGUGACUGUAAAUAGCUUACAUGUUUUAGGUAUUUCACUGAGUUGUGUACCAUGUAAGAGAGACCGUGACUGUAAAUGUGGUGGCUCUUAUCGAUCUUACAGCAAUUCAACUCCUCACUGUCAUAGAUUUGACAAUAAAAGAUGUUGUUACUGUGAAAUUCCAAUUGAAUGUACACCUCGUCCCUAUAACACCGGCUGUCCAUCAGGUUGUGAUUGCGUUCCUGAGCAUUCUCAUCACCACUGCAGAUGUCCACAGUAGAGGUAAAUACCAUCAAAGCACAGGUCAAAGUUGUGUAUGUCUUGUUUUGCUUUGUUUUUUCUCUUUUUACACUCCGAUUGUGUGCGGUUUGAAUGUUUAGGCCUUAUUUCUUUUUUUUUAUUCGAACAUCACUGAGGCGUUAUUUGUAGACGAAAUGUGUGUCUGGCGUACAAAACGGUAAGCCUGGUAUGUUUGAUGAUUUUAAAUAAGAAGAUGUGGUAUUAGUGUAAAUGAGACAGCUCUCCAUUCAAGUCAAAAUAUGUAAAAAGUACACAACUAUAGGUAAACGUCCGGCCAUCAACAUGGAGUCUUGGUUCUCAUGUCAAUUUUAUCAUUGAUUCAAGGACAAUAAUUGUAAAUAUAAAUCAAUGUGUAGACAUCUAAAAUGUUCAGGUAUUUCACAUCCCAUCUUUUAUGGUAAGCAAAGCACAAAAAUGUCAUCAUUCACUUCGAAAGCUUACAAAACCUUUAAACAGCAGACUUAUUCAGAAAUAAUAUAGUCGCGGUACUGUUUUCGGGUAAUUAAACAUUGCAUUUUUUGGAAUUGAUAUUGAUUAUUUUACCUAUUUAAUUACUCUCUAUUCGGAAACCCCACUCACACCCAUAAUGAUACGACUCACUUGGAAAGAAUACUGAUGAUAAAUAAAAACAUUCGUCACAACUCGGCCAAUUCCGUACCUCAUCUAAGGAUAGAAGGAGAGUAGCGGAAUCACCCGAGGUUGCCGAUUGAUGAGUGUAUCAUUCGUCACAAAUCGGUCGAUCCGUACCUCAUCUAAGGAUAGAAGGAGAGUAGCGGAGUCACCCGAGGUUUGCCGAUUGAUGAGUGUAUCAUUCGUCACAACUCGGUCGAUUCCGUACCUCAUCUAAGGAUAGAAGGAGAGUAGCGGAGUCGUCCGAGGUUUGCCGAUUGGAUGAAACACGACUAUUAUAGGGUAUCUUAUUGUACUAUCGUCACUUGUCCAUCCAUGUCUACAGUUCUCAACUGUGUUCUUCAACAAUGGGUAAAACUAUACCGUGAAAAGCAGUAUAAUAGGUCUGGGCCUGGCAAUAUAUAUCAAAUUAGAAGAUGUGGUAUGAAGGCCAAUGAAACAACUCUCCUCCAGAGACCAAACGGCAUAGGAGUUAACAAUUAUAGGUCCCCGUAUACGGCCUUCGACAAAGAACACUGAUGAACGCACAACAGGCUUACGUUCAGGAAAAGUACAUAAGCUAUGAUAGUGUUGUACAUUAGACAACAAACAACACAAAAGGAAGUUUGUUAAAAGAUUAAUGCAAAAGUUUUAUGACUAUAUCUAUUAUUUUGUUCUUCUUAUUUCUUAAUUCUUUUGUAGGAGAUGAUUACAUGGAAAAGAACUGCAAAAACCAACAAGGCGUUUUUUACUUCUGCAAUAAAGUAUUAAAUAUAAAACUAUUUUGUUUAUUCUUGACUGGCAUUAGAAAGUAUGAGGCUUCUAAAAGAACAUGAACUGACCUGUUAAAUUUUAACGAAAAUAGAAGCGACAUUACUAAUAGACCCUC